GUGGUUCCAAUAUCGUACGUUGAUAGUGAAUCGACUAUACAUAGGAUUGAUAUCGAUCUUAAUGUUACACUCGAUAUUGAUGCGAUUGGUGAUGAUGGAUACGACAAUAGUGAUCCUUGAGAUUAAGAUGUCGAUAGUGAUAGUGAUCCCGUUGUGGACGAGGUCCUCGAUGAUAUUAACGACAAAGACAUGAAUGACGAUAGAAACAUUAACGCGUCUUUAGUCGGGAACCAGAUUCGACGUAUUGUGAUACACAAUAAUUCUAGGCCACACAUGUCGCUCAUAAACCCCGACGCGGUGCACGUAGCCGAGUUCCCAGAGUUGCAAUGCAACAUCCUCCAGAGUGACAGUGCACUCCCCACACGGCAAAUGGAAAGUGUGGCUCUUCGGGUGUCAAUGCUCGACCAAUGCAAAUAUUAAAUCGUACUGCAAAUCAAACAUCUGGAUCAAUGCUGUUGACCCGAAUCUAGCUAACUCCAAGUACGGCAUCAAUCGUGCAUUCGAAGAAUAUCCUAAACCAUUCACCCGACCCCUUAAUGCGCAGUACGGGCUCUAACAGUGAUAAAUUACAUAAAAUAGUUAUAAUAACAUAAUUUAUUUCUGUAAAUUACGUAGAUCUUUUUUUAAGGAAACCCGUAAUUAAUAAACAACAAUAUAUUGCCAUAUUAUUAACUGUGUUUGAUAUGUGACCAUCGUUUUUAAUCAAUAGAGCCAUUGCGGUACCUGCAAUUUUAAAACAAAUUUUGGCUAUUAAUUUCAAAGUUUGAUGGAUUUUAAAUAUUUUUCAAAAUACCUAAAUUUUUAUUUUGCUUUUAAUUACAAAAAAAAAAUACCAAACAGUAUUUUUCCACAUCAUAUUUUUUGCUAUACUACAUUAACAAACUAAAUAUAGAUUAUAAAUUCCAACUCAAACUCCAACUCAAUGGUCUCAUUCAGAAAUUUCAUCCCAAUGGUUUAAUCUUUUACCUACAUAAAAAAUAUUAAAAUACUAAAAAUAAUAUGCCAAUAAAAAAUAUAGAAAAAUUAUAUAAAUGAUACAUAAUAAAUAUGAAUAUUUUUAUUAUUAUUUUAAAAUGAUAAUAAGUAAAUUUUUAUAUUAAAAUACUAAAAAUAACAUGUCAAUAACAAAAACAUAACAUAAACGAUACAUAAUAAAUACGAAUAUUUUUAUUAUUACUUUAAAAUGAUAAUAAGUAAAUAUUUUUGGUUUAAAAUAUAAUAUAUAUAUAUAUAUAAUAACACGCCAACUUAAUUAUUAUAAAAAAAUACUUUUUUUUUCAUAUAAGUUCAUAGUAAAUUUUAUUUUUAUUAUUUAUAAAAAAAUAUAAAAUCUUAAAAAAUUAAAACAUAUAAACUAAUUCCUAAUCUAUCUCAUAAAUUCCAAAUUUCAUAUCAAUGGUCUCACCUUUUACCUACAUAAAAAGAAAAUAAUAAUAAUAAAAAUAACAUGCCAAAUAAAUUUCAUAAAAAAUAUAUCUAAUCAACCUAAAACACACAUAAUAAAUAAAUUAUAUAAAAAAAUAAAACAUUCUUUGUACAUAAUAUAAAUAGGCUUUUUUUUACUUCAAUAAACAUUAAAAAUAAAUUAUGAAUGAAUAGAAUUAUAAAAUAAAUACAAACAUACCUUAAUAGCUCUUUUUAACCAAAUAAAACCUUACAAAAUCACAUUUAAAAAUUAAAUCUGAAUUAAAUCAACAAUAACAACAAAAAAGCAAAUUAAAUUAACAUUAAUCCAUUAAUUUAUAACAAAAAUAAUUUACCUUUUUCUUUUCUAUUUUUUUUCCUCCUCUUUCUCCUUCCCUCUUUCUAUUCUCCUUCUCUUUUUUCCUUUUCUUUUUCCCUUCCCUUCCCUACUCAGCUUCUCCUUCUCCUUCUCCUUCUUCUUCUUCUUCUUCUCUUCUUUUCUUCUCCUUCUCUUUCUCCUUCACUCACGGCCAAAAAUGGAACUUGGGGACCAUUAUAAGGUCCCCAAACACACAAAAAUACAGAGGAACUCAACAUGCAGCCGUCCCAUCCCUACUAAAGUGGUGCCACUUCUACCAGCCCCUCCAUCUGUGUCGCUUGCGCCAAACCCUCCACCCAUGUCUUAUCCCAUUGUUUUUUUUUUACUGUAAAGUGUCAGAAAAUAAGGGUAUUGUCGCCAAUGCACCACUCUCCACCCAUCCAAAUGUACUAUUUUAAUACUUAAUUUUAGCAACAACCCAUUUUUGUUUUUUAUUUUAAUUUUAUAUUAUUCCGAUAAAAAACCUUUGUUGUAAGCUACAGUGGUCCGCCAAACCAAGCAAGCACAGAAGAAAUGACCGAUGGUGACCCCAUCCAACGCCGACUCAUAUUUGUUUUGGAGGCCUACUUAACUGAAAUCUGAGUUACUCACCUUAGGCAUAUGGCCAAAUAUUGGGCCUGCUAAGCAGAUGUUGGUGUGAUAAGCAAGUUCAGCCCACAAUUUGAAACUGGCCUUCCAAAUACCAUUUUGGGUCUAAACAGAUCAUCUUGGACUUGCAUAUUUUUAUCAAUUUUCUCCCUUCAUUGGACGUGAGAAAGGUGGCUAUUUUGGGUUUAAGCUUCUUCUUUUGUUUGUUUUUUGUUUUCAAUAUUCAUGUGGUUAAAGUGACAUACAUUUUAUAAAUCUAGUUGUUCUCUUUUUCUUUUUCAAACUAAAUCUGUGUAUGUAAUAAUUUUAUUUUAAAAAUAAUAAUUCAAUCAUUAACAUCAUUAAUAUUUCACUUCAAAAAUUGUCAACAUGAAAUGUGGAUAAAGCAACCUUAUAAUGGUGGGUUUGAUUUUUAGGGUUUGAUUUAUCGAAAUAAAAAAUAUUUAUAGUUUUAAGUUAUAAUUUUUAUUAAUA
rnacentral:lncRNA from 1 species